rnacentral:tRNA from 1 species
GGUUUUGUAGUGUAGCGGUUAUCACUCCGGAUUCUGAUCGCCUCAGAGUCUUCCGGCAACCCCGGUUCGAUUCCGGGCAAGACCU